GAGGGGACAGGCAGGACAGCUCAGCUGUGUCACCUCACAGGUGCACUCCUUCAGCACAGGCUGUUCUUGCACUCUGCUCUGCUCUACUCACAGCUGAAAGUUACCAGGACCAAUCAAAACACAGGGUGGAUGUUCAAAUUGCAUUUCUCUCCUUUUUUAUCUGACCAUUUUCCUCCAGUGUUUUGCAUUGGAUUUGGAGGGCCACUUAUACAGAAGGUUAAGACCCAAUCUCAGGACUGACAAUCACCUGUGCAAAUGUAACCAACUGAUUGCUUUGUUGGAAAUCCACCUAACAUCAGAAAGAAAGAGAAAACUUGGAAGUGCAGCAACAACCGCCUCCAGUUCUCUGCCAGAUUUCCUUCAGGAUUUAAUGAUUCAGGUGGCUUCAUUUGCUAAAUUUUUGCCAAAAAAAAAAAAAAAAAGAAGAAAAAAAAAUCUCCACUGACACCAUAUAAUAAAGUUGAGCAAACAGGAGGGCUGGUAGGAGACUU